GAAAGGUUGGGGGGCACAGAGAGCGAGGAGCCUUCCCCAGAGGAGUCAGGCCUUGUUCCUGUCCCCAUUCCUCAGAG
rnacentral:miRNA from 1 species